UACGUAGGGGGCAAGCGUUGUCCGGAUUUAUUGGGCGUAAAGAGCGUGUAGGCGGCCAUACAGGUCAGCUGUGAAAACUCGAGGCUCAACCUCGAGACGUCGGUUGAAACCGUAUGGCUAGAGUCCGGAAGAGGAGAGUGGAAUUCCCGGUGUAGCGGUGAAAUGCGCAGAUAUCGGGAAGAACACCUAUGGCGAAGGCGGCUCUCUGGGACGGUACUGACGCUGAGACGCGAAAGCGUGGGGAGCAAACAGG
rnacentral:rRNA from 1 species